UACGUAGGGCGCAAGCGUUGUCCGGAAUUAUUGGGCGUAAAGAGCUCGUAGGCGGCUUGUCACGUCGAUUGUGAAAGCCCGAGGCUUAACCUCGGGUCUGCAGUCGAUACGGGCUAGCUAGAGUGUGGUAGGGGAGAUCGGAAUUCCUGGUGUAGCGGUGAAAUGCGCAGAUAUCAGGAGGAACACCGGUGGCGAAGGCGGAUCUCUGGGCCAUUACUGACACUGAGAUGCGAAAGUGUGGGGAGCAAACGGG
rnacentral:rRNA from 1 species